rnacentral:rRNA from 1 species
GAUGAACGCUGGCGGCGUGCCUAAUACAUGCAAGUCGAGCGAACGGACGAGAAGCUUGCUUCUCUGAUGUUAGCGGCGGACGGGUGAGUAACACGUGGAUAACCUACCUAUAAGACUGGGAUAACUUCGGGAAACCGGAGCUAAUACCGGAUAAUAUUUUGAACCGCAUGGUUCAAAAGUGAAAGACGGUCUUGCUGUCACUUAUAGAUGGAUCCGCGCUGCAUUAGCUAGUUGGUAAGGUAACGGCUUACCAAGGCAACGAUGCAUAGCCGACCUGAGAGAGUGAUCGGCGACACUGGAACUGAGACACGGUCCAGACUCCUACGGGAGGCAGCAGUAGGGAAUCUUCCGCAAUGGGCGAAAGCCUGACGGAGCAACGCCGCGUGAGUGAUGAAGGUCUUCGGAUCGUAAAACUCUGUUAUUAGGGAAGAACAUAUGUGUAAGUAACUGUGCACAUCUUGACGGUACCUAAUCAGAAAGCCACGGCUAACUACGUG